AUGUUUGUUGGGUGUGUGAGCCGAGUCUGGGGAGUGAUACGGCGGUCGGCGGCGGCUCAUCGCUGUUGUUCGUCCGGCGCAGCAGAGCGAGAGGGAGGUGGCGGCGCCCUCGCCGUUGCCAAGGAGGGAGGCGGACGAGGGGUGGUGUCUGGGCGUGAGCUCAUAGUUGGUGUGUGCGUGAGAUGAGAGGGAGAGAGAUGAAAUGGGGGUGGACGGCGGCUGGACAGCGGGGCUGUUCAGUGGAGGGAGGCAGGGCACGGCGGCUGUGCCGCUGCUGCCCGGCCACGAUUGGAGAGAAGGAGGUGGGCUGGUCGGAGCUGGUCUGGGUGGAGGGUUGAGCGGAGAACGACGGCGGCGGUGGUGGCAGUUUGGUGGCUGCUACUCGCUGGGAAUUUGAGGGCGGCGAUGGCGGUACCAUCGGCCAAGGUUGAGCCGAGGAGAGGGAGGAGCGUCGGCGGCGGCUCAGCUGCUGCCGAUCAGACCCAGGAGAGAGAGAGAUGGGAGACGGAGUCACCGGUCGGCGGCGGCUUUUGCUGCUGCAGUCGCCGGAAGGAAAGAGAAUGGAGGGGUCGAGGGUGAUGGUGAGGAUGACAGAGCGGCGCUCGUCGCCGGGGAUGGUGGUACGCGGCCGUGAAGUCCGAGAGAGAGGGAGAAGAGGAGGGGCGUCGAGAGAGGGGCGGCGUGUGUUGGUUUGUGUGUGUGGGGCACCUUGAGUGAAAUAAAGUCGAGGGAGUCGGGAGAGGGGUGACCGGCGACGCCUACCGCCGGAGGAGAGAAGAGGGCGAAGGGGGGUGCCUUGCAGCGCAGCUGCUGUGUGCUGUGUGCGUGUGUUUGUGUUCUGAAUGUGUGUGUGCGUGUGAUUAAGAGAGGGAGGAGAAAAGUAAUAGGGUUUGGGGUUUUGGGCCUGGAUUGUUGGGCUUUGGCUAUUGGGCCGGAAAAUGGAGAAGGAAAGAGUGAAUGGGCUUAAGUUGUUGGGUCGAUUUUUAAUUUUAUUUAGCUGGGCCCGAUUUAUUUUAUUCAGUCUGGGCCAUUCCUAUUUUAUUGAAUUGGGCCUCAUCUUUUAAUUGGUAUGGGCUAUUAUUUAUUUAAGCAUGAGCUCUAUUUCAUCUAUUUAAAUGGCUUCCCUAUUUUAUUUAAUUAGACUAAUAAUUAGUUUGAUUAAAUUAUUUUAAAGAUGAUUUGCAUUAUAAUAUUAUUAGCAUCAUGAAGUGAAUAUUUUCAAAUAAUUACUUAUUACAUUAUUAAAGUAUGAAAUGAGCUAUGCAUUUGCAUCAUGAUUUAAAUUGGUGUUAUUUAUAAUCAAUUAUUAAAGAAAGUCGAGUAAGAAUAUUGUUGGUGUUCUUAACUCAAGAGAAAUAUUUUUAAUUAUUUAUUCAUUAAAUUUUGAAAACCCGGCUAAGUGAAUCAUAGAAUAUUAAGCACUACACCAUGACUUAAGAUUAGAAUUCAAGGAGACCUAUUGAGAAUAGAUUUCUUGUAGGCUUUGUGAUGACCAGGAGGAUUAGCGCUAUUUUUCCAAGACAGGUUUAUAUGUGUAUGAUCUUCAGGCUUUGCCUAUCCAGGUGGGCUUACUUUCCAAAUGUACAAAGUAUGAUUGAGUUAUUAAGCUCUAAAUGUUUCAAUGAAAUGCAAAUUGUUUAUUUAAUGUAAUGAAAACUGUUUAUCCAAUAAAAUAUUUUGUGCACUCUGCUCUGUUUAAGGCUCGCAUAAGUUAAUCGAUCGAGGUUCUCUUAUGACCUAACACGUUGUUUGAGAAUUGUG
rnacentral:lncRNA from 1 species